CCUCCUGCCUCAGCCUCCCAAGUAGCUGGGACUAUAGACCCAUGGAGAAGAGACAAAUAGAGUAUGCAGGGGAAAGAAGACAAGGACCAAGAUUAUUUUUAAAUCACUCAUUGAUGGAAAAGCAUUUCAGCAGGACUGUCGAUUUUAUGGCCCCCGUGCCUGCCACACUCCUCUAAUUUUUACAGAGGCACCAAUAUCUCUCCAGAUUUCAGGAUGACCAUUUGUCCUAUGACUUUAGCUUUCUGAUGUGUUCACAGAAAGUCAUCAAUAUGCUGCCUGUCCAGCUUUUUUCUUGUUGCAAGUAUGAGAGCUACAGUUCUGAGCUGAAACUACAAGCCACUGUCAGCUUUUCACCAACACCUAAACCACAGUGAGUAAAAGAAGGCAUGAAACUUGACAAAGUAUUCGUGGCUCAGAAAAAAGUCCAAUGAAGAAGCUGUUGUCUUCCUGGAUGGUGAAGGUCGUGCUUCUGGUGUUUAUCUUUCAUAACAUCUUGCAUUCAAAACUCCAUCUCAGCAUCUGCUUCCAGAGAACCUGGGCUGCAACAACAGGAAAAAUGAGAGGCUUAUUUUCUGAGAGGAAGAAUUAACUUCAUUAGGAUCUGAAUUUCCUACAGUCCUUGGUCUCACAGAAAGUGACGCUGCUACCACCCGUGAGACUGCAGAUCCGUCAAAUGCCAAGGGUCUUUAUAAGAGACAAAAGAGACACACAUGGAGGAGAAGGUGAUGUGAAGACAGAGGCAGAGAUUGGAGUGAUGUGGUCACGAGCCAAGGAAUGCCAACAUCUAUCAGAAGCUGGAAGAGGCAAGGAAGGAUUCUCCCGUAGAACUUCUAUGGUAGCAUUUCCCUGCUGACAUCUUAAUUUUGGAUUUUUGUCUCCAGAACUGUGAGUAAAUAAAUUUCUUUUAGCCUCCAUGUUUGUGGUAAUGUCAGAUUUCAGUCUGACCUGAACCAAGGGGUUCUUGGCAUGCCCAUGGCUGAAGAAUGACCAGACAUGCCAAAGUUCGGCAAGCGUGAAAAAAAGGUUUAUUGAGGAGAGAAAGAUAGGAUUAUAGGGCAAGAGCAAGAUAUAGGUUUACAGAGCAUGGUACAUAUUGCCAUGAAUGAUGACCAGGCCCAUUGUUGCACCAGGGCAAGCAAAUGGAAGGGCAAAGAGAGAGGUUGGCUAUGGUCUGCAUCCUAUUUUAUAGUGUCUGGAUAGGGACCUCCCUUGUGGUUCAGAAGUCACCAUGGAACCACUUUAAUUAGGAUGUGCCUAAUGGGGGUCACAUGACCUGAGCCUUAAC